CUCCUCAUCGAUAGUAUAUUGCAAACUAAGUUACAUUGUCGCACUCAUCAACAAAUUCGGCCAUCACUUCCGGUGCAAACAGCGUGAGAAAGAAGACCUGCGAAGGAAUUUCUCGCAGAUAAACAAUAAGGCUAGCUUUACUAGACGUUGCCAUGUCUGCACAUGCAACACAUGACCAGAACAAGGAAAGAAGGCAGCUAGGAGACUACAGACAUGCCUUCUUAUCAGACAACCAGUUUGUCAAAUUUUGGCUUCAAGGUCCCGAUGUAUAAUUAAGAUAUCUUAUUAUGUAGUGCUCCUUAAAGUGGAUGCAUACAAGUGGCGCAAACUUUGCCAUGCACCUUUAGAGACUUUGUAGCCUGACAAGAAAUUGGGCCAAUUCUCAA